rnacentral:rRNA from 1 species
AUUGAACGCUGGCGGCAUGCUUUACACAUGCAAGUCGAACGGCAGCACGGGUGCUUGCACCUGGUGGCGAGUGGCGGACGGGUGAGUAAUGCAUCGGAACGUGUCCUGAAGUGGGGGGAUAACGCAUCGAAAGAUGUGCUAAUACCGCAUAUUCUCUGAGGAGGAAAGUAGGGGAUCGAAAGACCUUAUGCUUUUGGAGCGGCCGAUGUCUGAUUAGCUAGUUGGUAGGGUAAUGGCUUACCAAGGCGACGAUCAGUAGUUGGUCUGAGAGGACGACCAGCCACACUGGGACUGAGACACGGCCCAGACUCCUACGGGAGGCAGCAGUGGGGAAUUUUGGACAAUGGCGCAAGCCUGAUCCAGCAAUGCCGCGUGAGUGAAGAAGG